UCUUGAAUGAAAGAAGGAAUACAUAUAAUCCUCAUCGUCAAACUCAAUUUUUGGUCCGGACAAUAACAGGUAAUAAUUAGCAACAAGAACUUUAAUGCUUCUUGUAAUUUAGACGUUGUUACAUAGUAAAACAAAACUUCAGCCAACUCAUACCAGUGCAUAGCUUUCUCAAAUAUUAAUUUCAUUAAACUAUACAAUACUAUAAAAAAUGAAUAUAAUUGAACUGGGUAUGAUUUGAUGAUAAACAAAUUUAAGAGGUUGGAGUUGGAAUGAACGAACAAUCAACAAGGUACGAUGGAUUCAAAGCAGUGUAGGCCAUCCAACUCAGGUGCAAACCUUGGACCUAAACGGGUCUUGUUUUUCUUGGUCCCAGUGGGUGUUGACGAUGGAUUUGGAUCCUUGGUGGCGGUUUUGGACUUUGCAGCAGUGGAGGAAGAAGGGUCAUCCAUUUUGGGCUUCAAAUUUUCAUCUUUUGUGGGAACAUCGCCAAAAGAAAAGCUCCACAUCUUGCCCUGUGAGAUGUCGAAGUGGCUGAACAUGGACAUAAACAUAUUGAUAUGUUGUUAUUGGUCUCUUACGUGUGCGUGUGAACUAUGAAGAAAUUGAUGAAGCAAGGUAGUUGAUAUGUAUUUCAAGGUUGAUGUGUUUUUUAAGGUAUAACGGCGAGUAUUUAUAUGAACUAAUGGUGAGGGUGGAAGAAGAGUCGUGGAAGAUUGGUUUGGAGAUUCGUGGAAUUCCCUACUUUGGUCGGUGUUUAUGUGUGGAAUUGGAUAAGGCUAGAAGCCUAGAAGUUUCAUGUUUUGACGAGUUGUUGAACCAUUUACUUGUUCAACACUCCAAUUCCAUAUUUUUUUAUAGAAGCCCCCACGAACUUUUA
rnacentral:lncRNA from 1 species